rnacentral:rRNA from 1 species
CCUACGGGUGGCAGCAGUGGGGAAUAUUGGACAAUGGGCGAAAGCCUGAUCCAGCCAUGCCGCGUGUGUGAAGAAGGCCUUCGGGUUGUAAAGCACUUUCAGUGGGGAAGAAAGCCUUGGGGCUAAUACCCUCGAGGAAGGACAUCACCCACAGAAGAAGCACCGGCUAACUCCGUGCCAGCAGCCGCGGUAAUACGGAGGGUGCGAGCGUUAAUCGGAAUUACUGGGCGUAAAGCGCGCGUAGGCGGUCUGAUAAGCCGGUUGUGAAAGCCCCGGGCUCAACCUGGGAACGGCAUCCGGAACUGUCAGGCUAGAGUGCAGGAGAGGAAGGUAGAAUUCCCGGUGUAGCGGUGAAAUGCGUAGAGAUCGGGAGGAAUACCAGUGGCAAAGGCGGCCUUCUGGACUGACACUGACGCUGAGGUGCGAAAGCGUGGGUAGCAAACAGGAUUAGAUACCCCAGUAGUC